rnacentral:lncRNA from 7 species
CUCGAAUCUGCACGCCGGUGAUGAACUCCAAGCGGCCCAGCCAUGCACUAGGCGGAUCGGGCGUUGACUACAGGCGCUAGUGGAGGAACCGCGUCCGCGCGCACGUGGUGGAGGGGAACGAGGCGGGAGAACGCUACAGUGGCAGGGGUGUGGCUGGCGCUGUUCGCUGUCUCGCGAUGCAAAGCCAGCAGCGGUGUUCCUACCCUUCACCGCCUAACCCUGCAAGCAGCGGCCUAUAGGCACGAACUCCGCCCCGUGGCCCUGCCCACGCGAACCACCGCUCUGCUAUCCGCACCGGCCACUGCGCACCUUCUCCUUUCCUCUCUCUCUCUCUCUCCACCUCGGUUGCGCUGGCUCGGUAAAAGGGAAAUUGUGGCUGGUCGAUCAAGC